CCUACGGGAGGCAGCAGUGAGGAAUAUUGGUCAAUGGGCGCAAGCCUGAACCAGCCAUGCCGCGUGCAGGAUGACGGUCCUAUGGAUUGUAAACUGCUUUUGUACAGGAAGAAACACUCCCUCGUGAGGGAGCUUGACGGUACUGUAAGAAUAAGGAUCGGCUAACUCCGUGCCAGCAGCCGCGGUAAUACGGAGGAUCCAAGCGUUAUCCGGAAUCAUUGGGUUUAAAGGGUCCGUAGGCGGGUUUAUAAGUCAGUGGUGAAAGCCCAUCGCUCAACGAUGGAACGGCCAUUGAUACUGUAGAUCUUGAAUUAUUAGGAAGUAACUAGAAUAUGUAGUGUAGCGGUGAAAUGCUUAGAGAUUACAUGGAAUACCGAUUGCGAAGGCAGGUUACUACUAAUGGAUUGACGCUGAUGGACGAAAGCGUGGGUAGCGAACAGGAUUAGAUACCCUGGUAGUCCACGCCGUAAACGAUGGAUACUAGCUGUUCGGAGCAAUCUGNGUGNGUAGACGAAGAGAUAGUAUCCACCUCGGAGGUACGUUCGCGAGAAGUAGAACGUACGAAGUAGUAAGUUAGUACGGACGUAGAGACGUUACGCCGACGGACGACGACGAGGGAGGAGGG
rnacentral:rRNA from 1 species